UUCACAAAGUAUUUUUUUAUUAUUUUUUUACUGUUUGAUUUUUGUUUUAAAAAAAACAAAAAAAAAAAUAAUUAAUCGGAUCAAUCGCGGGCCGCCACGUGUCGUGAAGCCCGCGCUACAGUGAUGAACCAGGUUCACUGAAAAGAGCUGGGGAGAGACAGGUUCAUCACUAUUCAUUAUUAUAAUAUUUUCUUUUUUUUUUGAAUCUGUGUAAACCCCCCCCCUCAUAAAUUCACUAAUAGGGGUGCUCUUACUAACUGGACAAUUA
rnacentral:lncRNA from 1 species